GGACCUGACUGCUAUCGGAUUGAUACUAAGCCAUGCGAGUCAUUGUAGCAAUACAAGGCAUACGGCUCAGUAACGCGUAGUCAACCUAACCUAUGGACGGGAAUAACCUCGGGAAACUGAGAAUAAUGCCCGAUAGAACAUUAUGCCUGGAAUGGUUUAUGUUCCAAAUGAUUUAUCGCCGUAGGAUGGGACUGCGGCCUAUCAGUUUGUUGGUGAGGUAAUGGCCCACCAAGACUAUUACAGGUACGGGCUCUGAGAGGAGUAGCCCGGAGAUGGGUACUGAGACACGGACCCAGGCCCUAUGGGGCGCAGCAGGCGAGAAAACUUUGCAAUGUGCGAAAGCACGACAAGGUUAAUCCGAGUGGUUUCUGCUAAAGAAACCUUUUGUCAGUCCUAGAAACACUGAUGAAUAAGGGGUGGGCAAGUUCUGGUGACG
rnacentral:rRNA from 1 species